GGGGGGGGGGGGGGGGGGGGGGGGGGGGUGGAGGGGGGGCGGGGGGGCGGGGGGGGGGGGGGCUGGCGGGUGGGGGGGGGCGGGCGGGGGGGGGAUGCAUCGGGAUGUACUUUUUCGGGGGGGAUAACGUAGGGGAACUUACGCUAAUACCGCAUACGACCUACGGGUGAACGCAGGGGAGCUUCGGACCUUGCGCGCUUCAAUGAGCCGAUGUCGGAUUAGCUAGUUGGCGGGGUAAAGGCCCACCAAGGCGACGAUCCGUAGCGGGUCUGAGAGGAUGAUCAGCCACACUGGAACUGAGACACGGUCCAGACUCCUACGGGAGGCAGCAGUGGGGAAUAUUGGACAAUGGGCGCAAGCCUGAUCCAGCCAUACCGCGUGGGUGAAGAAGGCCUUCGGGUUGUAAAGCCCUUUUGUUGGGAAAGAAAAGCAGCAGGUUAAUACCCCGCUGUUCUGACGGUACCCAAAGAAUAAGCACCGGCUAACUUCGUG
rnacentral:rRNA from 1 species